UCCGAGUUGACCCCGGCAGUCUCCUACGAGUCCCCGGCAUUACCCGCUGGCAACAUAGGGCAAGGGUUGCGCUCGUUGCGGGACUUAACCCAACAUCUCACGACACGAGCUGACGACAGCCAUGCACCACCUGUGAUCCUGCCCCGAAGGGAAACCAUGUUUCCAUGGCGGUCAGGAACAUGUCAAGCCCAGGUAAGGUUGUUCGCGUUGCAUCGAAUUAAUCCACAUCAUCCACCGCUUGUGCGGGUCCCCGUCAAUUCCUUUGAGUUUUAACCUUGCGGCCGUACUCCCCAGGCGGAGUGCUUAAUGCGUUAGCGUCGGCACGGGAGGAGUCGACACCUCCCACACCUAGUGCCCAUCGUUUACAGCGUGGACUAC
rnacentral:misc_RNA from 1 species